UAAUGUAACCACGGUCAACUGCACUUUACUGCAGCUGGAUGGUUUAAUGAACUCUGCGUUGUGUAUUCAAAGGAUAAAGGAGGCUUGAAAGAGUAUCCAGACCAACACUUUAUAUCUGAACAGAGAAGGACAUAACAAAUGCUGGGAUUUGACGAACUGAAGGAGGAGCUGUUCAUGCAUGCAGACUUGAAGGACAACCUUAGUUGAACUUGAUGUUUUCUUACUGACACACCUGUUUGAAUAAAACAUGUUCUUUAAACUGGUUUUGAA